UGUCUUUCUACAAUGGCAGUCCUAUGGAGUU
rnacentral:piRNA from 1 species